rnacentral:rRNA from 1 species
GACGAAUCGUGCGACCGUUGUUCGGAUUCACUGGGCUUAAAGGGCGCGUAGGCGGCUCGCCAAGUCAGGGGUGAAAUCUUUCGGCUCAACCGGAAAAGUGCUUCUGAUACUGGCGGGCUGGAGGAGGGUAGGGGCGGAUGGAACUUCCGGUGGAGCGGUGAAAUGCGUAGAUAUCAGGAGGAACACCUGUGGUGUAGACAGCUUACUGGACCAUUUCUGACGCUGAGACACGAAAGCGUGGGUAGCAAACAGG